ACGGAGUAGAAAUACUUAGUGGCGGACGGGUGAGUAACGCGUGAGAAUCUGCUUCAGGACGGAGACAACAGUUGGAAACGACUGCUAAGCCCCGAUGAACCGAAAGGGAAAAUAUUUAUAGCCUGAAGAUGAGCUCGCGUCCGAUUAGCUAGUUGGGGGGGUAAAAGCCCACCAAGGCGACGAUCGGUAGCUGGUCUGAGAGGACGAUCAGCCACACUGGGACUGAGACACGGNCCAGACUCCUACGGGAGGCAGCAGUGGGGAAUUUUCCGCAAUGGGCGAAAGCCUGACGGAGCAAGACCGCGUGGGGGAAGAAGGCUCUUGGGUUGUAAACCCCUUUUCUCUGGGAAGACAGUUGUGAAAGCAACCUGACGGUACCAGAGGAAUCAGCAUCGGCUAACUCCGUGCCAGCAGCCGCGGUAAGACGGAGGAUGCAAGCGUUAUCCGGAAUGAUUGGGCGUAAAGCGUCCGCAGGUGGGAGUUCAAGUCUGCUGUCAAAGACCGGGGCUUAACUUCGGAAAGGCAGUGGAAACUGAACAGCUAGAGUAUGGUAGGGGCAGAGGGA
rnacentral:rRNA from 1 species